rnacentral:rRNA from 1 species
GAUCCUGGCUCAGGAUGAACGCUAGCUACAGGCUUAACACAUGCAAGUCGAGGGGGCGAGCAUGUAUCUGGCUUGCCAGAUACGAUGGCGACCGGCGCACGGGUGAGUAACGCGUAUCCGACCUGCCGCACACUCCGGGAUAGCCUUGCGAAAGCAAGUUUAAUACCGGAUGCCGUAAGGACGCCGCAUGGUGUUUUUACGAAAGGGGUUUUACCGGUGUGCGAUGGGGAUGCGUCCCAUUAG